CAUGUGCUUCCUCUGGGACAUCAGCACCAGGUGAAGUUUCAGAACAUCGGAGAGGAAAUGUAGCUGAUCCAGACAGUGUUACAUAUGCUGCUGUCACAGCCAAACCAAAGAGGGAGAGAGUUUGUAAACAGACAAAUGAAUCAGAUCCAGACAAAACAACAUAUGCUACUGUUGCAAAUCAGAGGACAGACAGAGGUCAUUGACAUAAAAAAAGACAUCUCAAUACAGAAAAAUUUAAGACAUGAAUCUGAAGCUUUUU